rnacentral:rRNA from 1 species
CCUACGGGAGGCAGCAGUGGGGAAUAUUGCACAAUGGGGGAAACUCUGAUGCAGCAACGCCGCGUGCAGGAAGACGGUUCUCUGAUUUUAAACUUCUGUUUUUAGUGAAGUAUAAUGACGUUCGCUAAUGAGCAUGCCACGGCUAACUACGUGCCAGCAGCCUCGGUAAUACGUAGGUGGCAAGCGUUGUCCGGAAUUACUGGGUGUAAAGGGAGCGUAGGCGGACUUUUAAGUGAGAGGUGAAAUACUCGGGCUCAACUUGAGUGCUGCAUUUCAAACUGGAAGUCUAGAGUGCAGUAGAGGAGAAUGGAAUGCAUGGUGUAGCGGUGAAAUGCGUAGAGAUUAGGAAGAACACCAGUGGCGAAGGCGAUUCUCUGGACUGUAACUGACGCUGAGGCUCGAAAGCGUGGGGAGCAAACAGGAUUAGAUACCCCGGUAGUC